UACGUAGGGGGCAAGCGUUGUCCGGAAUCAUUGGGCGUAAAGCGCACGUAGGCGGCCCGGUAAGUCCGUUGUGAAAGUCAGAGGCUCAACCUCUGGAGGCCAAUGGAUACUGCCGGGCUAGAGUCCGGAAGAGGCGAGUGGAAUUCCUGGUGUAGCGGUGGAAUGCGCAGAUAUCAGGAGGAACACCAAUGGCGAAGGCAGCUCGCUGGGACGGUACUGACGCUGAGGUGCGAAAGCCAGGGGAGCAAACGGG
rnacentral:rRNA from 1 species